GAGGGGUGGCUGAGCGGUUGAAAGCACCGGUCUUGAAAACCGACGUGUCGAAAGGCACCCAGGGUUCGAAUCCCUGCCCCUC
rnacentral:tRNA from 1 species